rnacentral:rRNA from 1 species
UAAUGCGCUCCCACUGACACGGCGGAUGUGAAUCACUUCACACAAACAGCCGGUUCGGUUGCAGAGAAAAAUCCUGAAAAACGGGUUGACUCUGAAAGAGGAAAGCGUAAUAUACGCCACCUCGCGACAGGGCGCUAAAACGCGUCGCAACUGCUCUUUAACAAUUUAUCAGACAAUCUGUGUGGGCACUCAAAGUGACAUGGAUUCUUAACGUCCUCGGACGAAAAAUGAAUACCAAGUCUCAAGAGUGAACACGUAAUUCAUUACGAAGUUUAAUUCUUUGAGCAUCAAACUUAAAUUGAAGAGUUUGAUCAUGGCUCAGAUUGAACGCUGGCGGCAGGCCUAACACNCACUAUCGUUAACUGAAUACAUAGGUUAACGAGGCGAACCGGGGGAACUGAAACAUCUAAGUACCCCGAGGAAAAGAAAUCAACCGAGAUUCCCCCAGUAGCGGCGAGCGAACGGGGAGCAGCCCAGAGUCUGAAUCAGCUUGUGUGUUAGUGGAACGGUCUGGAAAGUCCGACGGUACAGGGUGAUAGUCCCGUACACCAAAAUGCACAGGUUGUGAACUCGAAGAGUAGGGCGGGACACGUGGUAUCCUGUCUGAAUAUGGGGGGACCAUCCUCCAAGGCUAAAUACUCCUGACUGACCGAUAGUGAACCAGUACCGUGAGGGAAAGGCGAAAAGAACCCCGGCGAGGGGAGUGAAAAAGAACCUGAAACCGUGUACGUACAAGCAGUGGGAGCACCUUCGGGUGUGACUGCGUACCUUUUGUAUAAUGGGUCAGCGACUUAUAUUCUGUAGCAAGGUUAACCGUAUAGGGGAGCCGCAGGGAAACCGAGUCUUAACUGGGCGUUAAGUUGCAGGGUAUAGACCCGAAACCCGGUGAUCUAGCCAUGGGCAGGUUGAAGGUUGGGUAACACUAACUGGAGGACCGAACCGACUAAUGUUGAAAAAUUAGCGGAUGACUUGUGGCUGGGGGUGAAAGGCCAAUCAAACCGGGAGAUAGCUGGUUCUCCCCGAAAGCUAUUUAGGUAGCGCCUCGUGAACUCAUCUUCGGGGGUAGAGCACUGUUUCGGCUAGGGGGUCAUCCCGACUUACCAACCCGAUGCAAACUACGAAUACCGAAGAAUGUUAUCACGGGAGACACACGGCGGGUGCUAACGUCCGUCGUGAAGAGGGAAACAACCCAGACCGCCAGCUAAGGUCCCAAAGUCAUGGUUAAGUGGGAAACGAUGUGGGAAGGCACAGACAGCCAGGAUGUUGGCUUAGAAGCAGCCAUCAUUUAAAGAAAGCGUAAUAGCUCACUGGUCGAGUCGGCCUGCGCGGAAGAUGUAACGGGGCUAAACCAUGCACCGAAGCUGCGGCAGCGACACUAUGUGUUGUUGGGUAGGGGAGCGUUCUGUAAGCCUGCGAAGGUGUGCUGUGAGGCAUGCUGGAGGUAUCAGAAGUGCGAAUGCUGACAUAAGUAACGAUAAAGCGGGUGAAAAGCCCGCUCGCCGGAAGACCAAGGGUUCCUGUCCAACGUUAAUCGGGGCAGGGUGAGUCGACCCCUAAGGCGAGGCCGAAAGGCGUAGUCGAUGGGAAACAGGUUAAUAUUCCUGUACUUGGUGUUACUGCGAAGGGGGGACGGAGAAGGCUAUGUUAGCCGGGCGACGGUUGUCCCGGUUUAAGCAUGUAGGCUGAUUGUCCAGGCAAAUCCGGAUAAUCAAGGCUGAGGUGUGAUGACGAGGCACUACGGUGCUGAAGUAACAAAUGCCCUGCUUCCAGGAAAAGCCUCUAAGCAUCAGGUAACAUUAAAUCGUACCCCAAACCGACACAGGUGGUCAGGUAGAGAAUACCAAGGCGCUUGAGAGAACUCGGGUGAAGGAACUAGGCAAAAUGGUGCCGUAACUUCGGGAGAAGGCACGCUGGUGUGUAGGUGAAGUCCCUGCGGAUGGAGCUGAGACCAGUCGAAGAUACCAGCUGGCUGCAACUGUUUAUUAAAAACACAGCACUGUGCAAACACGAAAGUGGACGUAUACGGUGUGACGCCUGCCCGGUGCCGGAAGGUUAAUUGAUGGGGUUAUCCGUAAGGAGAAGCUCUUGAUCGAAGCCCCGGUAAACGGCGGCCGUAACUAUAACGGUCCUAAGGUAGCGAAAUUCCUUGUCGGGUAAGUUCCGACCUGCACGAAUGGCGUAAUGAUGGCCAGGCUGUCUCCACCCGAGACUCAGUGAAAUUGAACUCGCUGUGAAGAUGCAGUGUACCCGCGGCAAGACGGAAAGACCCCGUGAACCUUUACUAUAGCUUGACACUGAACAUUGAGCCUUGAUGUGUAGGAUAGGUGGGAGGCUUUGAAGCGUGGACGCCAGUCUGCGUGGAGCCAACCUUGAAAUACCACCCUUUAAUGUUUGAUGUUCUAACGUUGGCCCCUGACCGGGGUUGCGGACAGUGUCUGGUGGGUAGUUUGACUGGGGCGGUCUCCUCCCAAAGCGUAACGGAGGAGCACGAAGGUUAGCUAAUCCUGGUCGGACAUCAGGAGGUUAGUGCAAUGGCAUAAGCUAGCUUGACUGCGAGCGUGACGGCGCGAGCAGGUGCGAAAGCAGGUCAUAGUGAUCCGGUGGUUCUGAAUGGAAGGGCCAUCGCUCAACGGAUAAAAGGUACUCCGGGGAUAACAGGCUGAUACCGCCCAAGAGUUCAUAUCGACGGCGGUGUUUGGCACCUCGAUGUCGGCUCAUCACAUCCUGGGGCUGAAGUAGGUCCCAAGGGUAUGGCUGUUCGCCAUUUAAAGUGGUACGCGAGCUGGGUUUAGAACGUCGUGAGACAGUUCGGUCCCUAUCUGCCGUGGGCGCUGGAGAAUUGAGGGGGGCUGCUCCUAGUACGAGAGGACCGGAGUGGACGCAUCACUGGUGUUCGGGUUGUCAUGCCAAUGGCACUGCCCGGUAGCUAAAUGCGGAAGAGAUAAGUGCUGAAAGCAUCUAAGCACGAAACUUGCCCCGAGAUGAGUUCUCCCUGAGACUUUAAGUCUCCUGAAGGAACGUUGAAGACGACGACGUUGAUAGGCCGGGUGUGUAAGCGCAGCGAUGCGUUGAGCUAACCGGUACUAAUGAACCGUGAGGCUUAACCUU